rnacentral:rRNA from 1 species
GUGAAAAGCACCCCGGAAGGGGAGUGAAACAGUUCCUGAAACCGUGUGCCUACAAGUAGUUAGAGCCCGUUAAUGGGUGAUAGCGUGCCUUUUGUAGAAUGAACCGGCGAGUUACGAUUUGUUGCAAGGUUAAGCGGAAAAAGCGGAGCCGUAGCGAAAGCGAGUCUGAAUAGGGCGCAUAAGUAACAGGUCGUAGACCCGAAACCAGGUGAUCUACCCAUGUCCAGGAUGAAGGUAAGGUAAUACUUACUGGAGGUCCGAACCCACGCACGUUGAAAAGUGCGGGGAUGAGGUGUGGGUAGCGGAGAAAUUCCAAUCGAACUUGGAGAUAGCUGGUUCUCUCCGAAAUAGCUUUAGGGCUAGCCUCGAGGUAAAGAGUCAUGGAGGUAGAGCACUGUUUGGACUAGGGGCCCUUCUCGGGUUACCGAAUUCAGAUAAACUCCGAAUGCCAUGUACUUAUACUCGGGAGUCAGACUGCGAGUGAUAAGAUCCGUAGUCGAAAGGGAAACAGCCCAGACCACCAGUUAAGGUCCCCAAAUAUAUGUUAAGUGGAAAAGGAUGUGGGGUUGCUUAGACAACCAGGAUGUUGGCUUAGAAGCAGCCACCAUUGAAAGAGUGCGUAAUAGCUCACUGGUCGAGUGACCCCGCGCCGAAAAUGUACCGGGGCUAAACAUAUUACCGAAACUGUGGAUGAACCUCUUUAGAGGUUCGUGGUAGGAGAGCGUUCUAAGGGCGGUGAAGUCAGACCGGAAGGACUGGUGGAGCGCUUAGAAGUGAGAAUGCCGGUAUGAGUAGCGAAAGAAGGGUGAGAAUCCCUUCCACCGAAUAUCUAAGGUUUCCUGAGGAAGGCUCGUCCGCUC